AGAAUGGAGCAGAAGAGGAGGAAGAGGAGACUGCAGAGGAUGGAGAAGAUGAUGAUGAGGGUGAGGAGGAAGAUGAGGAAGAGGAGGAAGAUGAUGACGAAGGGCCUGCACUGAAGAGAGCUGCUGAGGAUGAGGAUGAAGCCGAUCCCAAAAGGCAGAAGACAGAAAAUGGGGCAUCGGUGUGAGCCUCAGCCAUCUGGGCUGAGGGUGGGGAGGACCCCAUGGGGCCUGGAAGUGAGAUGGGGAGGGAUAAGUGCAGCGGCCUUUCACCUGGCUCCCUGCUCUGGAUUCCUCCCCAGAGCUGUCCCCCUCCUAUUCUCCCCAGCCUUCUUACUGUUCCCUCUCCAGAUAUCCCAGUUUUUACCUCUCCAUUCCUUCACCUCUUGAACUUUCCCUAUCCCUGAGCUCCCCAGCUGAUCCCCAGACUACUCUUCUUUUCCAUAUCCUCAUAUCUCCUCCCAUCCCCCAGUUGAUUCUUCAAAAUCCAUUUCUGCCCCUUUCCAUAUUCUGAGAUUUCCCCUUCUGCCUUCUCUCCCACUCUCCCUGCCUGAUCCCUGGAUCUCCCUCAGAUUCCCCACCCCCUUACAGCACCAGGCUGGGGUUGGGGCUGAGCCCCACAGCUGCCCCCUCUCCCCUUUAUCCUUUUUGUAUAAUUUAAUAAAGAAAUGGUCGCGCUUCUGUUUUUAA